CAUAUGGUGUGAGGGAGUUUUGCGCUCCCCCACCAAGUUGAACCAUAACAUCUUACAAUCUCUCAAAAUGUGAGUCAUUCACAUCCUACAUAUUUUCACAGCUCUAAUUCUAAUACCAUUUGUUGGAAAGCUUGGAGGAGCACGAGAGUAACAACAUGUCAAAUGUUUCAAGAUCUAUAAGAAAUUUUGACAUUAUAUCUUAACUCAACACUUCAAGGCAUUAUAUAUAUGGGUCACCUUUCUUCUAUAUCCAACAAUUCCUCUUAUGCCCUAUGAAUCUAUCUGAAAUUGUUACAUGCUGCAUUAUGAUAUCAAGGUCAUUGAAGGGAUGAUGUUGGUGUGACACUAGUUUUUCUUUUCCUUUUUUCUGGUUUACAUGAGUGUUGAAAAUUUUGGGGUGCCUAGCAUCGCGGACAACAAUUUACAACUACAGAGCAUGUCUUUAUUAGUUACAAAACACACUUGAGAAUAAUAAAUAAACUAAUGCUAUAUAACAAAUAGGGCAUUUUGAGAAUCAGAACUCGGGACCUCUAGCACCCAAAGCUAGAAUCAAACCACUGGACCAAAUGCCCAAAUUGAAAUAAUAAAUGAUAGGUGAUCUAUGUUUGGUUUACUAUUGAAAUUGUUUAUUCAUACUACAUGGUCUACAGUUGUAUUGUAAGAUGCCAACAGCAACCAGCUGCUAAGUGGAUGUUGCUCCUGGGUCUUCUCAUGAUACUGAGAUCAUUGGAUGAAGCUACCGAUACCUGAAGCUAACAUGUUUUUCUAGGUAAGAUAUCAAAGAGAAUCACUAACAUAGUGUGACACAAGUACUAGAUAUUUGAGUAUCUACAAUAUUUGGUUCGGGAUUAGAUCUUUAGUCAGUGUGUUUGAAAAUAUUUAUUAGAAGUAAACUUUUAGAUGGGUCUAGUAGUUCUUUAGUUGUCCGUGGGUAUGCUUUGGUUUACAGAAUAAAAUAAAAUAGUGCUAUAAUGCAUGUUACAAUAUGUAGCCAAGUUCACGUAGUAUCUAAGAUAGUCUGCAAUGCAUAGUUAUUUAUGACUCAUGUUUUAAUUUUCAGAUUUAUCAUUAAAGAUAAAGUUUGAUAAACUAUGGCUCACAACAGUCUUCUUUGACCAUGACCACUAUGUGUUUCAGCCAACAUCAAUAAACUUUUCCUGGAUCCCAUCAUUCAUCUACACAAGGCAGUCACAUGCAUUACCUGAUGGUAAUUAUUAUUUAACUAGUACUAGUACUAAACACAACCGGUAUAAGUCAAUUUUGACAGCUUCCGGAUCUUAAAAAACUAAAAGUAUAAAAAAUUAGGCGUAUUAACUAAUCAAUUAAUAAGUCAACCUUGUCAACUUCAGAUCUUCAACAAUAAAUUAAAAACACUUAUGCUUAUUUGUAUUUAACUAAAAUAUUGAGAAGUUAAAUUCCUAACCUUAAAAAAGGGGCAUUCCGAGAAUUGAAAUCAGGACUUCACGCGCCCAAAUCGAGAAUCAUAACACUAGACCAAAUGCCCUCAUAUGAAAAGUUAUUGUUUAUGAAUGAAUUAGUUCAAGAAAUUUUUAUAGCGAAAAUUUGAAUUUAGACCUCUGAAUUUUACAACAUGUCAUCACUCAUGGGUAGCAUUUACAUUUUAAUAACGUUUUAGUGUGAGAGUGGUGUUGCAAAAUUAACAUUUACAUGACUAUUAAACAACAACAAUUAAGCUUUAUCCCACUAGGUGAAGUUGACUACAUGGAUCAAAAGUCGUUGUAAUGUUCCAACAUAAAUCAUACAUAUAGCCAAAAUAUGGACCUCUAGGCAUUUGUUGAUAGUUUUGUCGGUAGUUUCUUAUGGUUUUUCUCUACAUCCAGCAGCGACUGAGCCACCAUCCAUAUGAUUUAUUCUCCUUACAAAAUCUACAAAUUUCCUCCACAUAUGUCCAAACCAACUAAUUAGAUAUGUAACCAUCUUAUCUACAAUAGGUGCCUAGUACGUUACCCCAACUCUUUCUCUUUAAUGAUAUUAUUCCUAAUCCUAUCUUGUCUAAUUUUCACUCAUUCGGUGCAACUGGACCUCACUCCUGCUACACUGAAUAUUUUCGUGUUGGCUUUUUACCGCCCAACACUUCAUCACUUAUAGAACGCAACUAUUUCACAUUGUUGUAAAAGAAAUUUUGUCAACUGUCGUUGCAAGGGAAGAGUCUGUCAUUAGGACAUAAGUCUGGCUACUGAUAAUUAUUCAAGUAUCACAGCAUUCAUCUCAAGGCAUUCACAUGAUAUAAAUAAAAGUAAUGCUUAUUCCUAUUGAAUAACCAAUUAAUAAUGAUAACCUUCCAUAGCAUAAUCAAAACAAUAAAAUAAAAAAUAAAAAAGGAGGGGGGCAUUCCGAGAAUCGAACUCAGGACCUCUCGCACCCAAAGCGAGAAUCAUACCACUAGACCAAAUGCCCUCAUAUAAAAAGUGUUAGUUUUUAAACAAGUUAGUUGAGAGAUGCAACUAAGAUUGCAAGACAGUAUUUUGACCUUCCAUUUACUUGUUAGUAAUUUGAAAUUAACACAAAUUUUAGAGCUUGUUUACUUUCUAAAAUCAUUUUUAGUUUAGAACAUAAAAAACUGAAUAAUUUUAGAGAGUAAACAAGCUCUACAAUUGCAAGAAGUAUUUUGGCCUUUGUUGUUUCCAUCUAAUACACCCAAAAAAUUCAACUUCAUCAUUUGCUUUCUUUGUUUGUUUAUUGUUAAAUUUCAUUUUAGAUUAUCUAUAUGGCCAAGUACCAUAAAGUUAAAUUAUCAUCCAUUUCUUGUGCUGGAACUUGCAGUUGCUAUUGAUGCCGCUGAUUAUGAGAAUUUACCUGUCUCCAGAAGUGAACUUCAUAACUUGUUGAGCAUACCUUCUUUAAAUGGAAUCGCCAUAAUUGACAAACUUGCUGCUUUGUCUGACUGAACAAGAUCUGACAGAAAAUAUAUGUGCAGGGGACUGAAAUCUAUCAGUAAAAGAGAAGUUUGUUGCUUCAAGAUCUCAAAAACUCCACUAACAUUGGUUUUUCAAGACAUUCUAAAGCAAAGAACUGAAAUUCAGCUUCUUCCCUAUGAAUGAACCUAUUUGAAUCUUGCAUUUCUGACUGAUAACUUUUUCAACAUCUCAAUGAUGCCAACAGCAACCAGCUGCUAUGUGGAGUUGGCCCUGUGUCCUCUCAUGAUACUGAGAUCAUUGGAUGAAGCUACCGAUACCUGAAGCUAACAUGUUAUUCUGGUAAAAUAUCAAAGAGAGUAACUAACAAAGUGUGAUACAAUUACUAGAUACUUGAGUCCCUAAAAAAUUUGGUCGGGGAUUAGAUCCUUAGUCGGUGUAUAUGAAAAAAUAUUUAUUAGAAGUCAACUUUUAAAUGGAUCUCAUAGUUCUCUAGUUGCCUGUGUGGAUACUUUGGUUUACGCAAAAGAAAAGUAUCAAAGAGAGUCUAAUUAGUUAUUUAUGAUUCAGGUUUUAA